rnacentral:rRNA from 1 species
CAGCAGCCGCGGGAAUACGUAGGGUGCAAGCGUUAAUCGGAAUUACUGGGCGUAAAGCGUGCGCAGGCGGUUAUAUAAGACAGAUGCGAAAUCCCCGGGCUCAACCUGGGAACUGCAUUUGUGACUGUAUAGCUAGAGUACGGCAGAGGGGGAUGGAAUUCCGCGUGUAGCAGUGAAAUGCGUAGAUAUGCGGAGGAACACCGAUGGCGAAGGCAAUCCCCUGGGCCUGUACUGACGCUCAUGCACGAAAGCGUGGGGAGCAAACAGGAUUAGAUACCCCGGUAGUCCCUGUCUCUUAUAC